rnacentral:rRNA from 1 species
GACAGUUCGGUCCCUAUCCGUCGCAGGCGUAGGAAAUUUGAGAAGACCUGUCCUUAGUACGAGAGGACCGGGAUGGACGUACCUCUGGUGUACCAGUUGUCCUGCCAAGGGCAUGGCUGGGUAGCUAUGUACGGAAUGGAUAAGCGCUGAAAGCAUCUAAGCGCGAAGCCAACUUCAAGAUAAGAUUUCCCACCGCAAGGGUAAGAC